ACAAAGAGCCUCCAAAAACUUUCUAGUCAUGAGUUCCAAACCAAAGCUGAGAAAGGAGUGAGUGAGGUCCUCUCUAGGUCAUUUAACAUUGUGGAGGAAGGUACAACAGAUAAGUACCUCCAGUCUGUAUCUACAUCCACCACAUCUACUGAUAUUAUACAAACCAUAGUGAAAGAUCUGCAGUCAUCUGACAUGGUAUCUGGAACCUCCCUGCUCACCACUGGACAGGUUUCUGAGAAAAGAAUCUGGUCUGUUGCUCGUAACAUCUACUACAGUCUGCAAAGUAAGAUUACGGAGUUUCUCAGAAAAGAUCUUCAAACGUCAGACACAACACUUGGUUCAAUCCAAAUAUUUACAUAUCAAAGCAGUCCUGCUUCACAAAGAGCAAGUCUCGGCCAUCUUGAGGUCAACCAGAGCAGUGUUACACCUGGUGGACUUUCCCAUUGUAAGAAACAUGAUCAUUCAGGACUUGUUUCACACAGAGAACUUACUUCCCCCAUCCUUUGUGGACAAAGUCAGGCAAGCUGCUGGGGUGGUAGUGGACGAAAUGGUGGAAAGUGUUGAGAACACACAGGAAGAUGGACAGGGUGCUUCUCAUCCUGACGACCUCCGAUCUGCUGUUAGGAAAUUGAGAAAAAUAAUUUCCACUGGGACCAUCCACAUUUUCAGUCAUGAAUUUGUGGAUAAAGUGAUAGCCCUUCAGGACAGCCACAGCACUCCACAGGUCUUAACAUUGGCAGCAGCCAGAAGUGCUUCAGACUCCAUUCUUUCAAGGCUGAAAUGGGGAAAGGAACAAUGUGACAUAUCCAGGAAGCUCUCCUCUCAGCUUCUCCAGAUAUUUUCUGAAGAGACAGUGAAGGGCUUCCUAAAACAGUGGUUAGAUGAGUAUGAAAAUAUAAACAUUGAUGUUUCAGUCCAGAAUGAACCAAGCACCUCUACUUGCAUGGUCUUUCCUAUCCAGCUCAAUCAGAGCAAGCCAGAGGAUAGUGACACAAUGAAUCAGCUCACGAAGGUCAUGGUCAACAAAAUGAUGGAUGCCUUAUCAGUUGGCUCAAGUCAUCAAAUGAUCACCAAAGCCAAUGCCAAAUGUUCUUUUGAGUCCGGUACCAGCAUGGCCACCAGUGACAUUGUAGAAGGGAUGUUGGAUUUGGUAAGGGAUAGCACCAGCAGUACUGGAGAGCAGAUCCCCAUCUUCAAGUCCAAGAAAAGCAAGAAAACCAUGUUCAGCAAGAUAUGCUUUAACAUAAAGGGUUCCAAGAAAGUUAGAAAGGACCACUGUCCUCAAAAGUCUAUGGAGUACCAGCCUCAGAACACUUCCCCUACUGUGUACUUUACAGAGUCGAGGACAAAUUCUCAUGGCUCCUUUGCUCCAGAGGGAAAUGACAUCGCAUAUUCCUUCCCACCUGAAGAGAAGAGUCGCAAACCCUCCCUUUUCACCAGAAUAUAUAGAGCCAUCACUAGAAGCUUCUCCAACCCAAGAUAAUUUUCCUCAUUAAAUGAGAUUUCAUUCAUUUGUUGUCAUAUGUUGACUGUUUUGCUAGCACAGACUGUAAUAUGUUCUGCGAUUCAUCCACAUGCAUUGAGGAGUAUACCACCUCAGUCACAGGCUACAUCAAUAAGUGGAUUGACAACGUCGCCCACAGUGACCGUAUGUACAUAUCCCCGACAGAAGCCAUGGAUUACAGGCAACAUCCACACCGCGCUAAAGGCUAGAGCUGCUUCUUUCAAGGAGCGGGACACUAAUCCAGACACUUAUAUGAAAUCCUGCUAUGCCCUCAGACUAACCAUCAAAUAGGCAAAGUGGUUGGUUAGGUCAGGGUGUGACUAGUGUGCUGUCAUCCUGUUAGAAGGUAACAGAUUAUUUUAUUACAAUGGUUAAAUUGGAUUUUCAUUGUGUUCAAUGGUGUUAUUUGCCCCCUAGUGGCGCUUUCUGGUACUUAGAAAGACGACGCAAACAGGAAGUUCAGAAUUUGUUUUGCACGCAUAGAAGCAGCUACAAACAACGCUACGGUGCAGGUCUUUCAAUGUAGUUAUUUCUUGUCACGCUUCAGCCUUGGAAAAAUAUUUGUUUUUUCACAACAUAAACGUUUUCAAUAUAUUAAUUCAAGAAAAGUCACGCCUUGGGAGUUUUAUUGAAGACUUAGUUGUUAGCUAUCUGUCUAGU